rnacentral:rRNA from 1 species
GAUGAACGCUGGCGGCGUGCCUAAUACAUGCAAGUCGAACGAGGUGCUUUUGUAGCAAUACGAGAGUAUCCUAGUGGCGAACGGGUGAGUAACGCGUUGGUGACCUACCCCAAAGUGUGGGAUAACAGUCCGAAAGGAUUGCUAAUACCGCAUGUGGUCAUUGGAUUUAGAAACUGAUGACUAAAGGAGCAAUUCGCUUUGGGAGGGACCUGCGUCCCAUCAGCUAGUUGGUGAGGUAAUGGCUCACCAAGGCGACGACGGGUAGGGGACCUGAGAGGGUGGCCCCCCACAAUGGAACUGAAACACGGUCCAUACACCUACGGGUGGCAGCAGUAGGGAAUAUUGCACAAUGGGCGAAAGCCUGAUGCAGCAACGCCGCGUGUGUGAUGAAGGCCUUCGGGUCGUAAAGCACUUUUCUGGGAGAUGAGAAAGGACAGUAUCCCAGGAAUAAGUCUCGGCUAACUACGUGCCAGCAGCCGCGGUAAAACGUAGGAGGCAAGCGUUAUCCGGAUUCACUGGGCGUAAAGCGCGUGCAGGUGGCGCGGUAAGUUGGGUGUGAAAUCUCCCGGCUCAACUGGGAGAGGUCAUUCAAUACUACCGUGCUUGAGAGCAGAAGAGGAAGAUGGAAUUCCCGGUGUAGUGGUGAAAUGCGUAGAUAUCGGGAGGAACACCAGUGGCGAAGGCGAUCUUCUGGUCUGUUUCUGACACUCAGACGCGACAGCUAGGGUAGUAAACGGGAUUAGAGACCCCGGUAAUCCUAGCCGUAAACGAUGUGAACUUGGCGUUGGUGGGUUAAACUCCAUCAGUGCCGCAGCAAACGCGAUAAGUUCACCGCCUGGGGACUACGGCCGCAAGGUUA